GACAGAGGGUGCGAACGUUGUUCGGAAUUACUGGGCGUAAAGCGCGUGUAGGCGGCAGCGUGUGUCGGGCGUGAAAUCCCACGGCUCAACCGUGGAAGUGCACUCGAAACUGCGCAGCUUGAGUCCUGGAGAGGAAGGUGGAAUGCUUGGUGUAGAGGUGAAAUUCGUAGAUAUCAAGCGGAACACCGGUGGCGAAGGCGACCUUCUGGACAGUGACUGACGCUGAGACGCGAAAGCGUGGGGAGCAAACAGG
rnacentral:rRNA from 1 species